UGCAUCAAUCCGCACUGCCGAAACCAUCUCCCGUGUAUUGUACGUCUCCAUGCCGUCGUUGUCGACAAAGUUGCCUCCACGAGAAGCCAUGGGUUACAAGAAAAGGCCAAGGUGGGGAGGAAGUUUUAGACCGACGGGAGGUGGCGGAGACCGACGAGAUGUAGCGGGGAGGAGAGCAGGGCAUGAAGGAGCUGAGGAGGCUGGCGUCUACGAGGGUCCAGGUAGCUUCCAGAGGGUUCGAGAGAGAAUGCGAGAAAAGAAAAGAAAAGUUCGAAGAGCCUAGGACCCCUGGUACGGCCUCGAUCGGGUCAAAUACUUGGGUCCCUUCUCUGGCGAGUCUCCAUCCUACCUCACUGGCGAAUUCUCUCUUACAAAUGGCUUUCGGUCACUGUCUAGAGAGGUGGCGGUGAUUCGGGUAAGAGACGGUAAUCCAUGGUUUUCCUCCUUUUCUUCGAACAAGAACCAACAAAAGCAAUACACACUAUGUAAAGGCACCAAAUCUAAUUCGUUCUGAUGCAGUAAAUACUUUAGGUACUUUAAUGCAGUGUCAAAUAAUUUAAGAAUUUACUGUACCAAUCAAUUUGGAUAUUGUCAUAUAUUAUUGAAUAUACUGAUGUAGUGGUUGUUGACAUCCCUUAGUUUUUUGA